rnacentral:rRNA from 1 species
UACAGAGGUCUCAAGCGUUGUUCGGAUUCAUUGGGCGUAAAGGGUACGUAGGUGGUGCUGUAAGUCAGGUGUGAAAUCUCGGGGCUCAACCCCGAAACUGCACUUGAUACUGCAGUGCUCGAGGACUGGAGAGGAGAUUGGAAUUCAUGGUGUAGCAGUGAAAUGCGUAGAUAUCAUGAGGAAGACCAGUGGCGAAGGCGGAUCUCUGGACAGUUCCUGACACUGAGGCACGAAGGCCAGGGGAGCAAACGGG